GACUAAAAUAAAAACGAUAAAGAGAAUAUAUGUUUCUUUUAUCGAGAUCUACCACCCCUUAAAAUAUUUGCACUUAUUUUUGGGACACCCUGUAUAAAUUAGUAAAUUUUAGUGUACAGUUUCAUAGAUGCUUUGGAAUUUCUCGGAAUUUAACAACAGAAAGCCAUAAUAUAAUCAGAAACGUAUGUUAUUGCUCGAAUAACGAGAUAAUACUUUGUUUGCAAUGCACCACAGUAAUAGGACUUUAUAUUUCACCCGGGAAGAAUUGUGCACGAUUUUCCAACAAAUUUCAAGCAAUAGAUAUGCAAGAUUUCAUAAUUUCAAGCAAAAUUUGAAUAAUUAGGGCUAUUUAUUGUUAUAAUUUUACUAUAGUUUGCAAUAGAUUAUCUCAGGAAAUGUAUAUUAUAAAAUAUUUAGUUAUAUACCCAGUAAUUUAAACGGUGUUGUGAGUGUGAGUAGAUAAAAUAUAAAAAUAUAACUGUGUGUGUGUGUGUAUAUUUUAUAUGAAUGAAAAAAUUGUUAGAUAUGCGCAAUGUGACAAUAAUCAUUAUAUA